UUAACUAUUAUAUAGUACUCAGACGACACCAAUAUUCAGAGUUUAGGGGUCCUCUGGCAGGCACUUACCAGCUAAAGCCGGUAGCCGAAGCGGCCUACCAAAGCAACAAAGGUAUAGUAUUCAAGGGUGGGAGAUCUACCCGAUAGGGCAUGAACUCUGUAAUGAUCCUUCCGCAGGUUCACCUACGGAAA
rnacentral:misc_RNA from 1 species